CCUACGGGAGGCAGCAGUAGGGAAUCUUGCGCAAUGGGCGAAAGCCUGACGCAGCCAUGCCGCGUGAAUGAUGAAGGUCUUAGGAUUGUAAAAUUCUUUCACCGGGGACGAUAAUGACGGUACCCGGAGAAGAAGCCCCGGCUAACUUCGUGCCAGCAGCCGCGGUAAUACGAAGGGGGCUAGCGUUGCUCGGAAUUACUGGGCGUAAAGGGAGCGUAGGCGGAUAGUUUAGUCAGAGGUGAAAGCCCAGGGCUCAACCUUGGAAUUGCCUUUGAUACUGGCUAUCUUGAGUAUGGAAGAGGUAUGUGGAACUCCGAGUGUAGAGGUGAAAUUCGUAGAUAUUCGGAAGAACACCAGUGGCGAAGGCGACAUACUGGUCCAUUACUGACGCUGAGGCUCGAAAGCGUGGGGAGCAAACAGGAUUAGAUACCCUGGUAGUCCACGCCGUAAACGAUGAGUGCUAGUUGUCGGCAUGCAUGCAUGUCGGUGCGCAGCUAACGACAUUAAGUACACCUCCGCCGUCGGGGAGGGUACGGGUCGGCGAAGAAGUUAAAACUUAACUUAAAGGAAAGUUAGUUACGGCGUGAGACGUUGCCGAACGGGACGACCGACCGAAGGGGAAGGUUAGGG
rnacentral:rRNA from 1 species